rnacentral:misc_RNA from 1 species
GUGAAUCAUCAAAUUUUUGAACGCAAAUUGCACUCUCUGGUAUUCCGGAGAGUAUGCCUGUUUGAGGGUCAGUUUAAAUAAAAACCGGUGUGGUUGCUGCCUUACGUGGUGACGCACCGGGUUUGGGUCGGCUUGCUUUGGGUUAAGUGACCUAAAAUUUCGCAUGAUUUUUUGCGACGGUAUUUUAAUGAUUUUACGUACGUUUGA